AUGACUGCAGAUCUGGCUGUCAUCUGGACAGCAGCCUGAGCGACAGCCUGGGCCACAGGGCCCACGGAGUGGUGGCCAGGCUCCUGAGCCACAGACACGGUGAGUCCUGAAGGCUAAGGACUGAAUCCGGUCCCUCUCAAAUCUGCAUGUUGAAGGCCUACCCUGCACUGUGGUUAUAUUUGGAGAUGUAGCCUUUAGGGAGGUAAUUGAGAUUAAAACUGAGGUCCAAGGGGGAGCCUGAUCUGCUAGGACUGGUGCCCUUGCCAGAGGAGCGAGACGGACACCAGGGCUGCACGUGGAGAGAAAUGUGUAUGAGGACGGUGAGAAGGUGGCCCACAAGAGAGACCGCGAGAGGAAGUGAACCUGCUGAUACCCUCAUCUCGGUUUUCUGGCUUCCAGAACCCUGAGAGAAUAAAUAAACUUCCAGUCCGUGGUGCCCUGUUAUGAUACCCUCAGCUGACUGAUACAAGCUGCUCAGUUUGGGGGUCAUUUGUUACACAGCAAAGGACGACAAAUACAACCAUCAGCCGACACUGCAUUCCCAUUCCCUCUGGGCUGGGAGCUGGGUAGAACAAGACCAAAGCCCUGGCCCAUAAGAAUGGAUCUCAGUCCACACGGAAAGACAAACACAGAAGAUGAAGUAAAAGGCUAGGGUGGGAGAAGACCCCUCAGGACGAAGACACCGCUUGGGGAGACGUGGAUGCAGGAGAGACCACGACACAUGGUCCUGCCCGCUCUGUGCUCCCCCUGGGGACACAGGCUCGGCCGUCUCAGAUACAGCAUCCUCUCCACGUUGUAGCUGAUGCGUGGACGCCGAAAGAGGUUAUGUUGGCUGAGGUCCCGAAGCUCAUCCCGGAGUCGCCAGGAUUCACGGGCAGGUCUGCAAGGGGAGAAGAGAAGAGCUCCUUGGAGGGUGUCAGCUCCUCAGGGGUCAGGCAGAGGGAGAAGCCAGGAGGGACACAGAGACACCGUGGGAAUGAUAGGAGGAGAUUAAUAUUUCCCCAGAAUCAAAGAUAAGAGCUUUUCUCGGUUGGAAUCGUGUUUGAUGCCCAAGACAGCCUACCUCAGGGAUCCGAUUUGCACUGCAGGUGGGACCUACCCCACAGUGGCAACGGCAGAUCCUUCAACCGCUGUGCUGGGCCGGGCAGAGAACCUGUGUCCCGGCGCUGCAGAGACCCGGACGAUCCCAUUGCACCACAGCAGGAACGCCAACAGUACAGCUAAGUAGAUAUUUGGACUGGGUAAGUUGUGGGCACGAGCGGGUAUGAAGAUUAUAAAUUAAUACCGUAAGAGAGCUUCCAUGGUGCUCACCGAAUCCGAAAUCUUCGUCUGAAAUCUGAAAACAUGUUUCCAAUGCAGAUGAAGCUCUCCAUCCUGCAUCCUGCAGAGGCGUCCUGCGGCUCCUGCAGACAGAAGGCAGGCAGAGGACAUGGGGAGAGGGCCAUAGGGUCCUGUUCCAUUUCAAGAAGAGAGAGAGAAACUUCUAUUAUAAUUAUUGUCUUAAGGUAAUUCUUUCUGACUUGUCUUCCAAGCCAAAAUAUCAAGGAGUGAUACUAGACAGUGUGUGGGGCCCAGAAGCCACAUACAAUUGCCAACACCCCGUUUCACUUUCACCCGGCAGCAGAGCUUUCCAGUUUAGGGCCUGAAGCUCACGUCUUUAUGAGGAAGGACACAUAUAUAAGUUCUCUUAAAGAAAGGCACCAGAUAUAUUUGCAUGUGAGAGACUGAUAAUUCCCAUAGCAAAGAGGAAACCAUACCUCAAAAAGAUACAUGCACCCCAGUGUUCAUUGCAGCACAAUUCCCCAUAGCCAAGACAAGGAAACAACUUAAAUGUCCAUCAGCAGAGGACUGGGUAAA
rnacentral:lncRNA from 1 species